UACGUAGGGGGCUAGCGUUGCUCGGAAUCACUGGGCGUAAAGGGUGCGUAGGCGGGUCUUUAAGUCCGAGGUGAAAUCCUGGAGCUCAACUCCAGAACUGCCUUUGAUACUGAGGAUCUUGAGUUCGGGAGAGGUGAGUGGAACUGCGAGUGUAGAGGUGAAAUUCGUAGAUAUUCGCAAGAACACCAGUGGCGAAGGCGGCUCACUGGCCCGAUACUGACGCUGAGGCACGAAAGCGUGGGGAGCAAACGGG
rnacentral:rRNA from 1 species